CGGGAUGUGGCGCAGUCCGGUAGCGUACAAGUAUGGGGUACUUGGGGUCGCAGGUUCGAAUCCUGUCAUCCCGA
rnacentral:tRNA from 1 species